GUAUGGUAUUGGCUUACCGUGGCAGUGACGGUUAACGGGGGAUUAGGGUUCGAUUCCGGAGAGGGAGCCUGAGAAACGGCUACCACAUCUAAGGAAGGCAGCAGGCGCGCAAAUUACCCAAUUCUAACAGCAUAAGAGAGGUAGUGACAAGAAAUAACAGUACAAGGCAGUUAAAAUGCUUUGUAAUUGGAAUGAUAGAAAUUUAAAUACUUUUUAAAGUAUCAAUUGGAGGGCAAGUCUGGUGCCAGCAGCCGCGGUAAUUCCAGCUCCAAUAGCGUAUAUUAAAAUUGUUGCAGUUAAAAAGCUCGUAGUUGAAUUUUUGCUAAAAAUAACCGGUCUGCUUUUAUUAAUAAAAGUGGUAUCUUGGUGUGUUUUUAGCAAUAAUGUCCUUUGAAAUGUUUUUUACUUUAUUGUAAAAAACAAAUUUCAGGAUUUUUACUUUGAGAAAAUUAGAGUGUUUCAAGCAGGCUAACGUUUUGAAUACUGCAGCAUGGAAUAAUAAAAUAGGAUUUUAGUUCUACGUUAUUGGUUUUAAGAACUAAAUUAAUGAUUGAUAGGGGCAGUUGGGGGCAUUUGUAUUUAACU
rnacentral:rRNA from 2 species